CCUACGGGGGGCAGCAGUGGGGGAUAUUGCACAAUGGGGGAAACCCUGAUGCAGCGACGCCGCGUGGGUGAAGAAGUAUUUCGGUAUGUAAAGCCCUAUCAGCAGGGAAGAAAGAAGACGGUACCUGACUAAGAAGCCCCGGCUAACUACGUGCCAGCAGCCGCGGUAAUACGUAGGGGGCGAGCGUUAUCCGGAUUCACUGGGUGUAAAGGGAGCGUAGACGGCCGUGCAAGCCAGGAGUGAAAGCCCGGGGCCCAACCCCGGGACUGCUCUUGGAACUGUGCGGCUGGAGUGCGGGAGGGGCAGGCGGAAUUCCUGGUGUAGCGGUGAAAUGCGUAGAGAUCAGGAGGAACACCGGCGGCGAAGGCGGCCUGCUGGACCGCGACUGACGUUGAGGCUCGAAAGCGUGGGGAGCGAACAGGAUUAGAUACCCCAGUAGUC
rnacentral:rRNA from 1 species